AGUGAACGCUGGCGGCAGGCCUAACACAUGCAAGUCGAGCGGCAGCGCGGGGGCAACCCUGGCGGCGAGCGGCGGACGGGUGAGGAAUUCGUCGGAAUCUGCCUUUUUGUGGGGGAUAACGUAGGGAAACUUACGCUAAUACCGCAUACGUCCUACGGGAGAAAGGGGGGGACCGCAAGGCCUCACGCAGAAAGAUGAGCCGACGACCGAUUAGCUAGUUGGUGGGGUAAAGGCCCACCAAGGCGACGAUCGGUAGCUGGUCUGAGAGGAUGAUCAGCCACACUGGGAGUGAGACACGGCCCAGACUCCUACGGGAGGCAGCAGUGGGGAAUAUUGGACAAUGGGCGCAAGCCUGAUCCAGCCAUGCCGCGUGUGUGAAGAAGGCCUUCGGGUUGUAAAGCACUUUUGUCCGGAAAGAAAUCCCUGGAGCUAAUACCUUCGGGGGAUGACGGUACCGGAAGAAUAAGCACCGGCUAACUUCGUG
rnacentral:rRNA from 1 species